CCUACGGGAGGCUGCAGUGGGGAAUAUUGGACAAUGGGGGGAACCCUGAUCCAGCCAUGCCGCGUGUGUGAAGAAGGCCCUCGGGUUGUAAAGCACUUUCAGUGAGGAAGAACGCCUGGUGGUUAAUACCCAUCAGGAAAGACAUCACUCACAGAAGAAGCACCGGCUAACUCCGUGCCAGCAGCCGCGGUAAUACGGAGGGUGCGAGCGUUAAUCGGAAUUACUGGGCGUAAAGCGCGCGUAGGUGGCUUGAUAAGCCGGUUGUGAAAGCCCCGGGCUCAACCUGGGAACGGCAUCCGGAACUGUCAAGCUAGAGUGCAGGAGAGGAAGGUAGAAUUCCCGGUGUAGCGGUGAAAUGCGUAGAGAUCGGGAGGAAUACCAGUGGCGAAGGCGGCCUUCUGGACCGACACUGACACUGAGGUGCGAAAGCGUGGGUAGCAAACAGGAUUAGAUACCCCAGUAGUC
rnacentral:rRNA from 1 species